GAAAUACACAGAAAAUCCAAGAUUAAAGAGCAGAAGAAAACAUGAAGUAUGUUAAAAUGAUGCAAUGAAACAGUAUAUAAAUUAAACAGGAAUGUUUAAUCAAGACAACCCCCCAACAGAGGUUCUUCAGAAUUUAUUCUUUAUGCUUAAUUGGAAAUACGAAAGUCUAUUUCCACAAUAGUGAGGCUGUUUCUUUCAAGCAGCUCUGUUGUACAACUGUUACCAGGACUCUAAACAAAUUUUAAUUGUUUUAUACUGAUAUUUCUGAACUAAAAAGUUUUAAAAUACGGUAUAGAUUUUAUUUGUGCUCCACGUAUUGCAAGCAAUUAACAACACAAAGAAAGAUUUAAUUCCUCAUCUAGAAUACCAAACUCUCUACCAAGUAUUACAAGUACACAAUACUUGCACAGUGACAAGCACAAGAAAGUACUAGGUGAGCACUUACUUUCUGAAAUCCAUACCAACUCUUAAAAGCCAUUUUACUUUUCCCACACCAACCAAUCUACAAUUUAAGGCAUCUCCACACAGGCAUCCAUCCGCCCACCCACUCCCAUACACACAACUUAUGUGGAGGUGUUUACUCUUUCAAAAGAAUCACUAUGUCAAUCAGGUACCAUUUAUUAAUUAUCCCUAUAACUGUGUCAGCAUUGAGAUAUGACAGUUAAACCAGUGUUAAAUCAAUACAAUAUUUACAUAGCACAGCACAUUAAGCUUGAGACACUCACUUGGGGGAUAAAACCACAUUUUAGAACAGGACAAAGGUCACCAUAAUUAAGUGUUUGAAAACAGCUAUUUACAGGUCCCUAUGACAUAACUAUGGUCUGUACACUGUUCCAAUGGGGCAGACAGAAGCAUGAUAGGCAUUUAUUUUGAGGGAUUUCAAACACACGAUUUGGUAGCAUAUUAUUAUGCUACCCUGAAUGCCAUAAGCCACCUUAACAUUCUCCAGGGUGGUUUCAUAUCCUAGAAUGGCAUGUCCAGCUGAUACAAAACAGACAACACAACGUUUACUUUGUGGAGAACUUUUUUCUCCUGCUAUUCAGUCAUCUCAACUUUGAAGGCAAUUCGUCCCAGAAACUUGUCACGAUCAUCUUCAUUUUUUAAAUUAGGUGAGCCCAGGAUCUUACACUCAAUUGCUAUUUCUUCAUUGGUACUGUUGGAGUUAAUCGCUAGUUGAACAGCCACUAGAGGCUGUAAAUAGUGAGCAUGCAAGGUUUUCCCAUAGUAUGGAAAGUACAUCAAGUCAAUCAAGCCUCCUGAAGGAAAAUAAUUUAUCUCAACCGCGCCUGGUUCCUUAGAUGUACACUGUAUAUACGGUUCCCCUUCAGGCUUUAAUCCAAUUAUCCUAUUCAUUUUCACAAGCACGCAGGGAGUUCCUUUAGAAUAGCCAAAGGUCUUAUCUUCCUUUCCAGAGCACUGCCCAAGCUCAGAGAGGUUAAAUCGACAUGCUUUUUUAACAGCAACAUCAUUCUGAUCAAAAACCUUUCCUGGUGUACAGUUUAUAUUUUGGGAUUGCUUUGAAUCAUCAUAUGUUUCAAGAAAUUUUCUAAGUGUAGAAACAUAUUCUGCAUAUGACUGGGCGUCACUCUUGUUAAAGUAGAAUUCCAGUGCAGUGUCUGGCUUUGGUGAAAUCAUAAGCCCUGGACUAGAAAUCCGGUCACGGUAUUUUGGAAUGUCAUUGCUCAGUGUCUGAAGCAUAACCCACAUUGUGAAUGUGAAGAGCGCCGCGAGGAAGCCAUAAAAUACCAGAUAGAAUAAUAAGAUCAAACCCCAGCUCUUGGCCGUGCGCCCCAGGAACUCGCCGCUGUUGGGGUUGUAGACGAACUGCCGCCACUCGGCCACGCUCUGGCGAAACGGCUUCUUCGUCUCCUUGCUCAUGGCGAGGCCGGAGGCGGCUGCGUCGCGGAGCUCGGUGGCGGUAGAGCCCGGCAGGCAGAAGAGAGCCGCAGCGCGCGCCCGCGGACAGCCGCUAAGUAACUGUCGCCGCGGCGCCCGGCGGGAGAGCGGACGCAGGGGCAGCACGCAGGGCCGGCCCCGCCUCGCUGCGCCUCGCGCCGCCCCGACAGCCAAUCGCCGCCCGCCGCGCGCCUGCCCCCUCGCGGACGGCGGGCGGGCGCUGGCACGCGGCCCUGAUGGGGGGGCGCCGCUCCCCCCCCGCCUUUUGAGGCGCCGCGGCCGCCGGCGGAGCGACAGCAGCGGUGUAGCGAGCGGUGCCGGACACCCGCGGCACCCCCGGGCCAGCCUUCACACCCUGGGACUUCUUUUAAGCGGGCCACGGUGCUGAGGGCCGCGGUAAAAGAACACAGCGCAUGUAAGCAGGGAAUCGUACGAGAUGUGUCGAUAACACGGCUUCCUGCAGCAUGAGACCUCCACAAAGUCAUCUGGUGGCACGGCCCUAGACGUCAAAGAAGGGCGCAAAGCGUUCUCCCUCUCCCAGCAGAAAGCAGAGCACCGCGUCCCUUCGCUCUGCAGCUCAGCAGGAGCCCCGCUGCACAGCACAGCUCCGAGCUCGGCUCGAAGCACAGCGCGAGGUGUGGGCAGGCAGAGCCCUGUGGAGCCGCGGCACCACAGCCGGUCUAAAGGCGGCCACUGAGCCAGACACCAAACCGGAGUGCCAGGGCUAAAUGCAUCUUUCAAAAGUAAACGCGACACUAAACCGGUCCUAACAGAAAAUUCCAUAUUUACCAGCGGUUACUUCAAACCUUUGUAACGUUUGCAGUAUCG
rnacentral:lncRNA from 1 species